CUCACUUACGAGCUCUAUUUAAAGACCGGUAAGCAAACAGCCUCAUAGAUCGAUAAUAUAUGGAGCAUUCGCUCCCAGAAAUUAAGAAGGAAGUUUUGCUUGGCGGGGCUUCACAACCUGUAAUUGGAUUUCUCAGCAAAGGUAUUCAGUGGCUGCAUAAAGACUUGGAAGCCUUUCUCUUCGUGUAAACCCCUCUAAUGGUGGUGUUGACUAUUUGCAGGUCCUUGGAAGCCAAAACCAGCAGCCCAAAUGGUCCAAACCCACCUCUCACUGGUGCACCCUUUUGUCUACAAAUGGCUUGUGGGUCACUCCAGUUUGGAUCCAAAAAAUCUGCUUUCUCAAGCUCUGGUAUCUCGAAUUCAAUUUC